rnacentral:sRNA from 1 species
GUUCAUACUGCAGUCAGAACUCCAAGUGAUUGUUGUGAAAGGCUCUCGAGGCAUUCGAGUGACUCAGCUAAAACUCACUAAGGCUGGAGUCCCCUCUGAUCAAAUACGGCAGAUAGGUCGUGGCAUUGAUGAAGACAUCCAUCACCAGCACCCGGUCGCAUAUCCGCAGAGAAAGUUGCCAAUAGGAAGGGCCUGGCAAAUUUACGGAGCAGAAAAUGAUUCUCUGGUGCUCGAUGGCUCGAUGGGGUAGAUCUUCCCAUAAGAUUCGGGCUUAAAUCGAUUGAAUCGAUCGCUGGCUAGGUCAAGGAGUGGUAAAUCGAAGAGGCAGGCUCCCAACUUGUCCAUGAGCCGCCCGGAAUACGACAGUAAAGAGCACUGAGGUUACCCUAAACCGUGGAGUGUGGGGUAUCUGAAGUACCAUAAAAAGGCGCUUGUUGUGGGACAUCUACCUCGCCCAGAUGUGUUGGACUGCACCGAAAGCCACACCAUGUAAUCUUUGGAGUAAAAAUGUUCAUCGCCAAAGCUUCUAAGGACUAGGCAACUCAGUUGAAGUUCUCGAUUAGGUACCUAGUGAAAUACAGAGAGAACUGUGGGCUGAGCAGUCGUAAGGUGACCACGAGGACCAUCGGCAGGGCGACAAUCCGGUGGAGCUACCUGAUGGUAGUACCUGCCAAUGUAGUAGCGGUGGCUUGGACAUAAGGAAUCUCUUUAUCCAGCGGAAACCUUUUUCAAACUCUGGGAAAUGCAAUCCACUUCCAGCAAAGUGAUACCUUUGCAACAGAUCGAGAAAACACCAAAAUCCUUGUAGAAAUCAUUGGAAAACUCCUUUCAAAAAUAGUUUUGUAAUGUUUUUGUCUCCUUCGAGGGUCGAAGCUCCCAUGCGGCACUGUCCAAACAACUGAUGCCGCGCUUGGUAGUCAGACCACUAAUGAAAGUAAUUAACACAUUAAUAAAUGAAUGGAACACCAAGUCAA